UGUGGUAUUGUUCCAUAAUGUGCUUCCAAU
rnacentral:piRNA from 1 species